UACGGAGGGGGCAAGCGUUGUUCGGAAUUACUGGGCGUAAAGGGCGCGCAGGCGGCUGCUCAAGUCAGGCGUGAAAGGCCUGGGCUCAACCCGGGAAUUGCGCUUGAAACCGGAUGGCUCGAGUCAACUAGAGGUGCACGGAACUUCCAGUGGAGCGGUGAAAUGUGUUGAUAUUGGAAGGAACACCGGAGGCGAAAGCGGUGCACUGGGGUUGGUCUGACGCUGAGGCACGAAAGCCAGGGGAGCGAACGGG
rnacentral:rRNA from 1 species